UGCUCAGCCUUAAACUUUAAUAGAAUAUUACAUUUUCUAUUUGCCAGGGAACUACUAGCAUAAGCUUAAAACCCAAAGGACUUGGCGGUGCUUUAGACCCACCUAGAGGAGCCUGUUCUAUAACCGAUAACCCCCGUUAAACCUCACCUUCUCUUGUUAUUUCCGCCUAUAUACCGCCGUCGUCAGCUUACCCUGUGAAGGCAUACUAGUAAGCAAAAUUGAUUUUAUCCAAAACGUCAGGUCGAGGUGUAGCAUAUGAGAAGGAAAGAAAUGGGCUACAUUUUUUAACUUAAAAAAUACGGAAAUUGUAAUGAAACAACAAUUUAAGGAGGAUUUAGCAGUAAGCGUAAGAAUAGAGAGCUACGCUGAAACUGGCCCUGAAGC
rnacentral:rRNA from 1 species